rnacentral:rRNA from 1 species
GUCGUCAGCUCGUGUCGUGAGAUGUUGGGUUAAGUCCCGCAACGAGCGCAACCCCUAUCUUAUGUUACCAGCACUUCGGGUGGGGACUCAUGAGAGACUGCCGCAGACAAUGCGGAGGAAGGCGGGGAUGACGUCAAAUCAUCAUGCCCCUUAUGACCUGGGCUACACACGUACUACAAUGGACGAUAACAGAGGGAAGCGAAGCCGCGAGGUGAAGCGAACCCCAGAAACUCGUUCUCAGUUCGGAUUGCAGGCUGCAACUCGCCUGCAUGAAGUCGGAAUCGCUAGUAAUCGCAGGUCAGCAUACUGCGGUGAAUACGUUCCCGGGCCUUGUACACACCGCCCGUCGACGCGGCC